rnacentral:misc_RNA from 1 species
GCAGCACAUUUGCGCCCGGUACUUGGGGGGUUGUGGUUCCCCAGAAGCACUUUUUUUCGGUUGACCUCGGAUCAGGUAGGGAUACCCGCUGAACUUAAGCAUAUCAAUAAGCGGAGGAAAAGAAACCAACAGGGAUUGCCCUAGUAACGGCGAGUGAAGCGGCAACAGCUCAAAUUUGAAAUCUGGCUCCCUUGGGGGUCCGAGUUGUAAUUUGUAGAGGGUGCUUUGGUGUUAGCUGUGGUCUAAGUCCCUUGGAACAGGGCGUCACAGAGGGUGAGAAUCCCGUAUGUGGCCAGCAGCUUUCGCCUUGUAAAGCCCCUUCGACGAGUCGAGUUGUUUGGGAAUGCAGCUCUAAAUGGGAGGUAAAUUUCUUCUAAAGCUAAAUAUUGGCCAGAGACCGAUAGCGCACAAGUAGAGUGAUCGAAAGAUGAAAAGCACUUUGGAAAGAGAGUCAAAAAGCACGUGAAAUUGUUGAAAGGGAAGCGCUUGCAGCCAGACUUGCCCGUAGUUGCUCAUCCAGGCCUCGUGUCUGGUGCACUCUUCUGCGGGCAGGCCAGCAUCAGUUCAGGCGGUCGGAUAAAGGCUCUGGGAAUGUGGCUCCUCUCGGGGAGUGUUAUAGCCCAGGGUGCAAUGCGGCCAGCUUGGACUGAGGUCCGCGCUUUUGCUAGGAUGCUGGCGUAAUGGCUGUAAGCGGCCCGUCUUGAAACACGGACCAAGGAGUCUAACAUCUAUGCGAGUGUUUGGGUGUCAAGCCCGAGCGCGCAAUGAAAGUGAACGGAGGUGGGAACCCCUUGGGGUGCACCAUCGACCGAUCCUGAUGUCUUCGGAUGGAUUUGAGUAAGAGCAUAGCUGUUGGGACCCGAAAGAUGGUGAACUAUGCCUGAAUAGGGUGAAGCCAGAGGAAACUCUGGUGGAGGCUCGCAGCGGUUCUGACGUGCAAAUCGAUCGUCAAAUUUGGGCAUAGGGGCGAAAGACUAAUCGA